rnacentral:rRNA from 1 species
GAUGAACGCUGGCGGCGUGCCUAAUACAUGCAAGUCGAGCGAACAGACGAGGAGCUUGCUCCUCUGACGUUAGCGGCGGAUGGGUGAGUAACAUGUGGAUAACCUACCUAUAAGACUGGGAUAACUUCGGGAAACCGGAGCUAAUACCGGAUAAUAUAUUGAACCGCAUGGUUCAAUAGUGAAAGACGGUUUUGCUGUCACUUAUAGAUGGAUCCGCGCCGCAUUAGCUAGUUGGUAAGGUAACGGCUUACCAAGGCAACGAUGCGUAGCCGACCUGAGAGGGUGAUCGGCCACACUGGAACUGAGACACGGUCCAGACUCCUACGGGAGGCAGCAGUAGGGAAUCUUCCGCAAUGGACGAAAGCCUGACGGAGCAACGCCGCGUGAGUGAUGAAGGUCUUCGGAUCGUAAAACUCUGUUAUUAGGGAAGAACAAAUGUGUAAGUAACUAUGCACGUCUUGACGGUACCUAAUCAGAAAGCCACGGCUAACUACGUG